rnacentral:rRNA from 1 species
UACGUAGGUGGCAAGCGUUAUCCGGAUUUAUUGGGCGUAAAGGGAACGCAGGCGGUCUUUUAAGUCUGAUGUGAAAGCCCUCGGCUUAACCGGAGUAGUGCAUUGGAAACUGGGAGACUUGAGUGCAGAAGGGGAGAGUGGAACUCCAUGUGUAGCGGUGAAAUGCGUAGAUAUAUGGAAGAACACCAGUGGCGAAAGCGGCUCUCUGGUCUGUAACUGACGCUGAGGUUCGAAAGCGUGGGUAGCAAACAGG